UUUGACCCUGGUCUCAUAUGCGCCAAGAACCUCAAAUUUAAAAUUGGGAUUUUUUUUUACUUAAAAAAAAAAUCUGACUACCCUCAAAUAUACAAAUGAUUCUAGUCUUCCCUGAUUUCUAAAAGGUCCUGAUACCAAACAUGAACCUGCAUUUUCAUCCAUCUUUGCAACCAGUAUUGAUAGAGUGGCUACUGUGACUUGCACUAAGCUGGGUGGGCAUGCUUUAGGCACCCAGGGAAGCAAGGCAUGGUCUCUCACCUCAAGGAGCCCACCCACUUCCAGGAGAAACAGCUUUGCCACUUCAUUCUUGGGCCCACGCUGAAGAACCAGUCUUUUUCUGAAACAUUGCUAAGAAUGUGGCAGAAGGAAGAGAUAUGGCAGAACUUCAUCAUGGCCCUGACAAACUCUGCUCUGAAAACCUUCAUGAUGGUGCUGAAAACUGACUCCCCCUGAGAGUUCCUUGGCUAAAUGAGUCACUUGGCCAAGCCUGACAUCCUCAGAGUGGGAAAACAAUCUUCCCAAAAUAAGGGCACCAUAAAUUACAUAGCCAAACCUCAUGUCAGUAGAAUGGCAGGUAAAAUCCUCCCACAAGAAGGAGCAGCAUAUAUUUGGAAAUAAAAAAUGCAGUCCACUACAUCUCAAUCAUUACAGCCUCAGAGGCUGAAAAUUUGUCACAGGGUGAUAUGGUUUGUCUGUAUCCCCACCCAAAUCUCGUCCUGAGUUGUAGUUUCCAUAAUUUCUGUGUGUCAUGGGAGGGACCUGGUGGGAGGUAAUUGAAUCAGGGGACAGGUCUUUCUCAUGCUCUUCUAGUGAUAGUGAAUAAGUCUUAUGAGAUCUGAUAGUUUUAUAAAGGGGGGUUCUUCCACACACGCUCUCUCGCCUGCUGCCAUGUAAGACGUGACUUUGCUCCUCAUUUGCCUUCCGUCAUGAUUUUGAGGCCUCCCCAGCCAUGUGGGACUGUG
rnacentral:lncRNA from 1 species